rnacentral:lncRNA from 1 species
GGCCUUUCUAUGGCGGGAGCAGCUGGUGGCUCUUUUACUGCUGUGCAGGCCGCGGCACUGACCGCGUCUGGCCCACCUGGAGAAGCCCAGGAUGCCUGGAUGAUGCCUAAAACACAACCCUUUCCCAGUGUCUGACCCAGAGACCAAGUCCUGAUCAAAAUUCGCCUUUGGAAGUGCUCUGUAGAACUCUGGUGGGAAAGGCCCCUAUUGAAUUGUUCUGACAAGUCAUGCUACAAAUCAAAGCCAGAGGAAAGGUCGUGUAGAUACUUGAGAGCCAAGCCCAAGGCUCUCCUUUUCCGGAUGUAUUGUCAGUAGGAAUUGGGUCACUUUAGGUAGAUUAUGUGGAAUCCUACCCUUUCUUUCCUUAACUGUUAAUGCUAUCAGCAUUUACCCUGGUCCUGUGGCUAAACUCCA